GCCUGGGUGGCUUAGUCAGUUAAGCAUCUGACUUCAGCUCAGGUCAUGAUCCUGCUGCUCGUGAGUUCAAGGCCCGCAUCAGGCU
rnacentral:tRNA from 1 species